rnacentral:tRNA from 1 species
GCAUCGGUGGCUUAGUGGUAGAAUGCUCGCCUGCCACCCGGGCGGCCCUGGUUCGAUUCCCGGCCGAUGCA